GACGAACGCUGGCGGCGUGCUUAACACAUGCAAGUCGAACGGAAAGGCCCUGCUUUUGUGGGGUGCUCGAGUGGCGAACGGGUGAGUAACACGUGAGUAACCUGCCCUUGACUUUGGGAUAACUUCAGGAAACUGGGGCUAAUACCGGAUAGGAGCUCCUGCUGCAUGGUGGGGGUUGGAAAGUUUCGGCGGUUGUGGAUGGACUCGCGGCUUAUCAGCUUGUUGGUGGGGUAGUGGCUUACCAAGGCUUUGACGGGUAGCCGGCCUAGAGGGUGACCGGCCACAUUGGGACUGAGAUACGGCCCAGACUCCUACGGGAGGCAGCAGUGGGGAAUAUUGCACAAUGGGCGGAAGCCUGAUGCAGCAACGCCGCGUGCGGGAUGACGGCCUUCGGGUUGUAAACCGCUUUCGCCUGUGACGAAGCGUGAGUGACGGUAAUGGGUAAAGAAGCACCGGCUAACUACGUG
rnacentral:rRNA from 1 species